ensembl:misc_RNA 7SK 7SK RNA
GGAUGUGAGGGCGAUCUGGCUGUGACAUCUGUCACCCCACUGAUAACCAGGGUUGAGUCAGCUGAGUUGGGUGGCUAGGUGGGUGUCCCUUUCCUGUGCGCUCAGUCAACGAGCCAUGACCUUCCACAAACAGAGGUGCAGAGGUCUUUGGUCAAGCCAUUCACCUGCUAGAACCUCCAAGCAAGCAGGAUCUACUGCUGUGUUUAGUAACUGUGCCUAUAAAGAUAUCCCAGACAGUGCCCAGGCAAGUGUCUUGAACAUGUUAAGUUAUCCCAU